rnacentral:misc_RNA from 1 species
CACCAAUAAUCCCCACAAGAACAGAAUCCAUCUCUAAAAUGGUGAAAGCGCUUGUUGUCUCUGAUAAUUAUCUCUCUUUCAACUACCUUUGAUAUUAACUUGGCUGCAUUAUGGCAAUCUACACAAAUCCGAAGAUUCUUGAAAAUUCUGAGAGUUGUACCUUUAGUUGUCUUCAACAAACCAAAACUAACUGCUAGCUUCUCACUGUGCCCCCGCAAUAUCUCGAUCUUCUCAUCUUCCUCCACCUCAUGAAGCACAGAGCCUGUGUUAGGUUUAUAUCCAAUUUUACUUAUCUGUUUCUCUAAUCUUCUCCAUUUCAACCGGAUCUCCUCUGACUCUGGCAGCAAAUUGUCACCUACAAGGAAACUAUAUACUUUACCCCCAAGCUCAAUCCAACUGCAGCCAGCAUCCUUUUGAAUGCCAAUAUCCUUAAUAAUUUGUCUCACCCUUCGCACGUCCUCCCACCGACCUGAUCCAGCAUACAAGUUUGAAAGUAAUACAUAGUUCUCUACUUUAUUUGGUUCUAAUUCUAACAACUUCUCUGCAACUUUCUCCCCCAUUUCUAGAGCACCAAACCUUCUGCAGGAACUGAGCAAUGAGCUCCAGAUUCCACUAUCUGGUUGUUCAGGCAUCUCAUUGACAAGCCUUAGAGCAUCAUCCAAUCUUCUGGCACGACCCAGCAUAUCUAUAACACACGCGUAAUGCUUCAAUUUUGGUUCUAGUCCAUGGGAAUUCUGCAUCUCACUGAAAUAUUUCAACCCUUCUUCAACCAGCCCAGCAUGACAACAUGCAGUCAAAAUUCCGAUAAAUGUGAAACAAUCAGGCAUUUGGCCAAUGUUCUCCAUUCUCUCAAACAGUUUUAUUGCCUCUUUCCCAUGUCCAUGAAACCCAUAUGCAGCAAUUAUAGCAUUCCACGAUCCCACAUCUUUAUCUCUUAGCCCAUCAAAAACAAUUCGCGAUUCUUCUAUACAACCACUUUUUGCAUACAUGUCAAUAAUUGAACAACUGACAAAAACAUCCUCUGUGAGUGUGGAUUUCAAUGCAUAACAAUGAGUUUCUUUUCCCAGCCGCAAAGCUGAUAGUUGUGAACAAGCCCCAAGCACACUCAUUAUAGCAAUGUCAGAUGGCUGAAUUCCAUUAGAAAGCAAUUUACGAAACAAAGUCAGGGCUUCAGCUGGAAGCCCAUUUUGUGAGUAACCAGAAAUCAUUGCAUUCCACGACACUAAACUUUUAUCUUCCAUCCCAUCAAAUAAUAAACGUGCAGAAGAUGAUUUUUUACAAUGGAUGUAAAGGGAUAAUAGAGACACACCAAUAAAUAAAUCAGUUUCCAAUCCAUUUCUUAGUGCAAAUCCAUGAACCUCUUGGCCACAGCGCAGCGAGUUUAGGUGGGCACAAGCUAAGAGAAGGCUACCUAUGCUAAACCAAUCAGGUUCGAAGCCUAAAUAUGUCAUUUGAAUGUAAAAAUUUAAAGCCUGUUUAGGAUCACCAUUUUGUGCAUAACCGCCAAUAAGUGCAUUCCAAGAACUCACCGUCUUCAUCUCCAUUCUGUUAAAGACACGCUCAGCAGAACUCAGCAUUCCACACUUAGCAUAGGCUGUAACAAGAGCAUUGGCCACUAAUUCAUCAUAUUGAAACUCAUGUCUAAUUGAAUAGCCAUGAAUUUCCUUUAAACUCGGCAACUGUGAAUUCUCCAAACAAGAAGGCAAAAUAUUCAAUACAGUGACCUCAUUAGGCCCUAUCUCCUGUUGCAUCUGCAUUUUCCUCAAAAGAUUAAAUGACUCGAAUAUAUAUCCUUCCGUGGAAAAACCUCCAAUCAUUGUAUUCCAAGAAACAACAUUUUUGUUAUUGUUCUUAUCAAAUAACAUUAGCGCUUCAGGCAAGUAUCCACAUUUUGAAUACAUGUCUACCAAAGCAUUAUUCACCUUCACCUCUUCGCUCAGUCCCAGUUUUAUAGCCAAACCAUGGAUUUCCAUUCCCAGAUCAAGUUCUACUUCUCUUGCACAAACUGGUAAUAUUGUCACCAUUGUGGCAACAUCAGGUGCCAACCCUUGCUCACCCACCAACAUCUCCACUAACAAAUUAAGACUGUCUACAGAAAAUCCAUUCUCAGAGAACCCACAAAUCAUUGAAUUCCACGAAACCAAGUUCCUCACAGGCAUAUAAUCAAACACUUUCACCGCUCCAUCAACCAACCCACAUUUCCCAUACAUUGCAAUCAGUGCAUUGCCCACAAAAACAUCCAAAACCAAAGCCAUCUUUAUCACCAUCCCAUGAAUCACCUCCCCUAACCCAGCACCUAAAAGCCCAGCACAAGCCUUGAUCACACAAGGGAAAGUAAAAUUAUCAGGUUCAAACUCUGUAUCCGACAUCAAUUCUACAAAGAUAUUAAUUGCCUCACAAUAAAGUUCAUUUCUAGUAUACCCACUAACAAGUGCAUUCCAUUGAAACAAAUUCUUCCUCUGCAAAUUAUCAAACACGAGACGAGAAUCAAAAACAGACCCACACGCGGCAUACAUGGUAAUGAGACGGGUAUUAAGAACAUAAUCAUUACUAUAUUGGGUGGAUUUAGAAACAAUCUCAUGAAUUUUUCGACCAGUCUCAAUGUCUUUUUGGUGGCCGCAGGCUUGAAGCAGAAUGCCCAUUGCUUCUUUCGUUUCUGAAGAAUUGGAACUAUCAUUUUGCAAGUUUUUCUGAAAAAGGUUCAAGGCUUCAGUUAGGCUACCAGUUUCGGAGAGUUUAGCUAUCUCUGGUAGAAAAGAGAGCUGAUGGGUAUCGUCUGCUAGAGAUACAGAGUGGCUUUGGUGAGUAUGGGUAGAGAAAUGAAGAGAUGAUCUUGGUUGAAGUGUUUGUUUGAGGUAAAGUCUUCUACGUGCUGGUGGAUUAAUGGUUCUAUAGAAGUGAAGGUGGCGAUAAGGCAGUGAAGGUGACACUAAAGCAGUGUUAUUGAGUUGUUGCAGAGAAACCAUGGUAACUUACUGCAUAAUUUUCAAGCGCGG